AACGAACGCUGGCGGCAGGCUUAACACAUGCAAGUCGAGCGCCCCGCAAGGGGAGCGGCAGACGGGUGAGUAACGCGUGCGAACGUACCUUUUGGUUCGGAACAACUCCGGGAAACUGGAGCUAAUACCGGAUAAGCCCUAACGUGGAAAGAUUUAUCGCCGAAAGAUCGGCCCGCGUCUGAUUAGCUAGUUGGUGAGGUAACGGCUCACCAAGGCGACGAUCAGUAGCUGGUCUGAGAGGAUGAUCAGCCACACUGGGACUGAGACACGGCCCAGACUCCUACGGGAGGCAGCAGUGGGGAAUAUUGGACAAUGGGCGCAAGCCUGAUCCAGCCAUGCCGCGUGAGUGAUGAAGGCGUCAGGGUUGUAGAGCUCUUUUGUCCGGGAAGAUAAUGACUGUACCGGAAGAAUAAGCCCCGGCUAACUUCGUG
rnacentral:rRNA from 1 species